rnacentral:rRNA from 1 species
AUGGUUCAGUGGAAUUGGACAGGUGACCCUACUUGCCAUUCUGUCCUCAAGCUGAGAGCAUCCAUCAUCUCUUUUUUGGAUGCUCUGCGACCUAAGUAUGUCUGGGGAAUUUUCUAUAAAUGUGUUGGGGCCACCAACAGACCUCGGUGUUUCACCCAAUAUUUUGGGUGGAUACCUGAGUUUAUUCCUGGUAGUGGAAAUGUGCAAAUAGUGGGGCUUGCAGAUAUAUGUUGGGCCCUGUGGAAACUUUGCAAUAGAGGAUGCUUUGAUAAGAAACUUGUGAGAUCUUCAGCUAAAUUUGUGUGUUAUGCUUGCUCCUUUAUGUAAUACUGGGUAGGUAUGCAAAGUGAUGGAGAUCAGGCUAUGUUGGAACACGGUGUUGCGGCUCUUUGGAGGGAAGCCCUGGCUCAUCGUAAGGUGGUUUAG